ACCCAGAGGGAGAGUCCCAAAUAAGACGAAAUGCACAUCCUGGAU
rnacentral:hammerhead_ribozyme from 1 species